UCCGUAGGGGGCAAGCGUUGUCCGGAUUUAUUGGGCGUAAAGAGCGUGUAGGCGGCCAUGCAGGUCAGCUGUGAAAACUCGAGGCUCAACCUCGAGACGUCGGUUGAAACCGUAUGGCUAGAGUCCGGAAGAGGAGAGUGGAAUUCCCGGUGUAGCGGUGAAAUGCGCAGAUAUCAGGAGGAACACCGAUGGCGAAGGCAGGUCUCUGGGCCGAUACUGACGCUGAGGAGCGAAAGCGUGGGGAGCGAACAGG
rnacentral:rRNA from 1 species